UGGGGAAUCUUGCGCAAUGGGCGAAAGCCUGACGCAGCGACGCCGCGUGAGUGAUGAAGGCCUUCGGGUUGUAAAGCUCUGUGGGGAGAGAAGAAUAAGUGCGGGCUAAUACUCCGCAUGAUGACGGUAUCUCCUUAGCAAGCACCGGCUAACUCUGUGCCAGCAGCCGCGGUAAGACAGAGGGUGCAAACGUUGUUCGGAAUUACUGGGCGUAAAGCGAGUGUAGGCGGUUUGGUAAGUCGGAUGUGAAAGCCCCGGGCUCAACCCGGGAGGUGCACUCGAUACUGCCAAGCUAGAGUAUCGGAGAGGUUGGUGGAAUUCUCGGUGUAGAGGUGAAAUUCGUAGAUAUCGAGAGGAACACCGGUGGCGAAGGCGGCCAACUGGACGAAUACUGACGCUGAGACUCGAAAGCGUGGGGAGCAAACAGGAUUAGAUACCCCUGUAGUCCCUGAGCGGGCUGGCAAGGCGCAU
rnacentral:rRNA from 1 species